ACGCAUCCACAUACAUCCACUCAUUUCCAUCUCUAGAUUCACCCAAAAUUAUUCUACUCCUAUCCGGGAGAGAAUAGCCAAAAACAUUAUUCUAUCCCAGUUAUUCCCAGUGAAAUAAAUGCUCAAGAUAUUUUGGUUACUACCACUUGCUACAUUAUUCCAUUAUUCCAGGAGGGUGAGUGCUCUCAAAAAAAGGUGAAAACGAGGAAACAAAAAAGGGGCAAGUGCCCGGAACCUCGAAAGAAAAGAAAAAGUGAGACCAGAGGUAAAAAUGGACAAGUGUCCGACAGUAGAAUUAGGGGUACAAGAUACCCACCUGAGAGAAAAGAAAAAUAAAAUAUAGAGUAUCUCCUUCUCCUCAAAAAGUUUCAAAUGAGCGAGAAAGGUAUGUAUCCCCUCAAAAGAGCAAAAGCAGAAUUAUACUUUCACCAUUAUUUUCACCAUUAUCACCAUUCAUUCGCCACACAUGCACAUAUUGAUUUGACUUAUUGACUUGUUCUUCUGGAUCCAUGGGUUGACUAUGCAAUAAAUGUCUUGUAAGUAUGUAUUAGCUGUCUCCCACCUAUGAGCUCUAGAUAUCAAAACCUUAUUAGAGUAGGGUGAGAGAGAAGGCAAUGCCACUAUGCCUCAUAC
rnacentral:lncRNA from 1 species